AGCCCUAAGUGGGUGGUAAACUCCAUCUAAGGCUAAAUAUAACCACGAGACCGAUAGCGAACAAGUACCGUGAGGGAAAGUUGAAAAGCACUUUGAAGAGAGAGUUCAAGAGUACGUGAAACCGUUUAGGGGUAAACCUGAGAAGCCCGAAAGGUCGAAGGGAGAAAUUCAUUCGCGACUCGCGACGGGCGUUAGGCUCGAGAGCGACGGAGAACGUUCGCGCGUUCAUCCGCGCCACGAGUUUAAAGAUCCCGUUGCGAACGCGUGCACUUUUCUUCUGGUAGGACGUCGUGAUCCGUUGGGUGUCGGUCUACGGUUAACGGUGGAGCCCGAAAGUGCGGUUUACGCCGUCGCUUUUGGACCCGUUUGUCCUGACCGACUCGCUCGACGGUAUAUAAAAGGUAUCGGGCCGCUNCCUCACUUCGGUGUAUGAGCGUUCGACUCGCGGCAAGCGCGUCAGUUGCGUCGGUGUGCGGACUUAGCGCCGCACCCGACCUCUGAUGACUGUUGGCCGCGUAAGUUCUCGAACAGACCCUUUUACCGAUCUACGACGCUAUAGCUUUGGGUACUUUCAG
rnacentral:rRNA from 1 species